AUGAACGCUAGCGACAGGCCUAACACAUGCAAGUCAGGGCGAGCACAAGGAGCAAUCUGAGGUGGCGACCGGCGCACGGGUGAGUAACACGUAUGCAACCUGCCUGUAAGCGGGGAAUAACCCGUUGAAAGACGGACUAAUACCGCAUAAUACUAAAUUACUGCAUGGUAAUUUAUUUAAACAUUUAUGGCUUACAGAUGGGCAUGCGCAUGAUUAGCUAGUUGGAGAGGUAACGGCUCCCCAAGGCAACGAUCAUUAGGGGUUCUGAGAGGAAGGUCCCCCACACUGGUACUGAGACACGGACCAGACUCCUACGGGAGGCAGCAGUGAGGAAUAUUGGUCAAUGGACGAGAGUCUGAACCAGCCAAGUCGCGUGCAGGAAGAAUGUCCUAAUGGAUUGUAAACUGCUUUUGCAGGGGAAUAAAGUGCAUCACGUGUGAUGUUUUGUAUGUACUCUGCGAAUAAGGAUCGGCUAACUCCGUGCCAGCCGCUGC
rnacentral:rRNA from 1 species